rnacentral:rRNA from 1 species
UACGGGGGGAGCAAGCGUUGUUCGGAUUUACUGGGCGUAAAGGGCGCGUAGGCGGCCAGCACAAGUCAGUUGUGAAAUCUCCGAGCUUAACUCGGAAAGGUCAACUGAUACUGUGCGGCUAGAGUGCGGAAGGGGCAACUGGAAUUCUUGGUGUAGCGGUGAAAUGCGUAGAUAUCAAGAGGAACGCCUGCGGCGAAGGCGGGUUGCUGGGCCGACACUGACGCUGAUGCGCGAAAGCUAGGGGAGCGAACGGG